CCGCCGCCGCGGUAAUACGUAGGGUGCGAGCGUUAAUCGGAAUUACUGGGCGUAAAAGCGUGCGCAGGCGGCUUUUUAAGCCAGACGUGAAAUCCCCGGGCUUAACCUGGGAACUGCGUUUGGAACUGGAAGGCUAGAGUGUGUCAGAGGGGGGUGGAAUUCCACGUGUAGCAGUGAAAUGCGUAGAUAUGUGGAGGAACACCGAUGGCGAAGGCAGCCCCCUGGGAUAACACUGACGCUCAUGCACGAAAGCGUGGGGAGCAAACAGGAUUAGAUACCCUGGUAGUCCACGCCCUAAACGAUGUCAACUGGCUGUUGGGAGAGAAAUCUUUCAGUAGCGAACUGUCGCGUGAAGUUGACCGCCUGGGGAGUACGGCCGC
rnacentral:rRNA from 1 species